CUAAGCCAUGCGAGUCAUUGUAGCAAUACUAGGCAGACGGCUCAGUAACGCGUAGUCAACCUAACCUAUGGACGGGAAUAACCUCGGGAAACUGAGAAUAAUGCCCGAUAGAACACUAUACCUGGAAUGGUUUGUGUUCCAAAUGAUUUAUCGCCGUAGGAUGGGACUGCGGCCUAUCAGUUUGUUGGUGAGGUAAUGGCCCACCAAGACUAUUACAGGUACGGGCUCUGAGAGGAGUAGCCCGGAGAUGGGUACUGAGACACGGACCCAGGCCCUAUGGGGCGCAGCAGGCGAGAAAACUUUGCAAUGUGCGAAAGCACGACAAGGUUAAUCCGAGUGAUUUGUGCUAAACGAAUCUUUUGUUAGUCCUAGAACCACUAACGAAUAAGGGGUGGGCAAGUUCUGGUGUCAGCCGCCGCGGUAAAACCAGCACCUCAAGUGGUCAGGAUGAUUAUUGGGCCUAAAGCAUCCGUAGCCGGCUCUGUAAGUUUUCGGUUAAAUCUGUACGCUUAACGUACAGGCUGCCGGGAAUACUGCAGAGCUAGGGAGUGGGAGAGGUAGACGGUACUCGGUAGGAAGGGGUAAAAUCCUUUGAUCUAUUGAUGACCACCUGUGGCGAAGGCGGUCUACCAGAACACGUCCGACGGUGAGGGAUGAAAGCUGGGGGAGUAAACCGGAUUAGAUACCCGGGUAGUCCCAGCUGUAAACUAUGCAAACUCAGUGAUGCAUUGACUUGUGGUCAAUGCAGUGCUGCAGGGAAGCCGUUAAGUUUGCCGCCUGGGAAGUACGUACGCAAGUAUGAAACUUAAAGGAAUUGGCGGGGGAGCACCACAAGGGGUGAAGCCUGCGGUUCAAUUGGAGUCAACGCCGGAAAUCACU
rnacentral:rRNA from 1 species